UUUCCGUAGGUGAACCUGCGGAAGGAUCAUUAUCAAAAGUCAAGUCGGGGGCUGUAAAGCUCUCGUCUACACCCAUGUCUUUUGCGUACUCUUGUUUCCUCGGUGGCGCAAGCUGCCGAUUGGACAAACUAAAACCUUUUUUGUAAUUGCAAUCAGCGUCUGAAAAUAAUCUAAUUAUUUACAACUUUCAACAACGGAUCUCUUGGUUCUG
rnacentral:misc_RNA from 1 species